rnacentral:rRNA from 1 species
GUGGGGAAUCUUCCGCAAUGGACGAAAGUCUGACGGAGCAACGCCGCGUGAGUGAAGAAGGUUUUCGGAUCGUAAAGCUCUUUCGUUAGGGACGAACGUGCUCUUUGUGAAUAAUGAGGAGUAAUGACGGUACCUAAAUAAGAAGCCACGGCUAACUACGUGCCAGCAGCCGCGGUAAUACGUAGGUGGCAAGCGUUGUCCGGAAUUAUUGGGAGUAAAGCGCGCGCAGGCGGGAUAUCAAGUCUGUCUUAAAAGUGCGAGGCUCAACCUCGUGAGGGGACAGAAACUGGUAUUUUUGAGUGUCGGAGAGGAAAGUGGAAUUCCAAGUGUAGCGGUGAAAUGCGUAGAGAUUUGGAAGAACACCAGUGGCGAAGGCGACUUUCUGGACGAUGUCUGACGCUGAGGCGCGAAAGCUAGGGGAGCGAACGGGAUUAGAAACCCCGGUAGUCC